CCCUAGAGCAAGCAACGUGCGACAGUGGCGAGAAAAACAUUCCCUUUUAGGCAGAAACCUGCGGACAGACCCAGGCAUCUUGGUAGGAGGUGUCAUGACGGGCCGGUGGGGUGUAUGACAGUAUAG